rnacentral:rRNA from 1 species
GACGAACGCUGGCGGCGUGCUUAACACAUGCAAGUCGAACGCUGAAGCUCUGCCCUUGUGGUGGGGUGGAUGAGUGGCGAACGGGUGAGUAACACGUGGGUAAUCUGCCCCAUACUCUGGGAUAACCCCUGGAAACGGGGGCUAAUACCGGAUAGGACAUUCUGCCGCAUGGUGGGGUGUGGAAAGUUCCGGCGGUAUGGGAUGGGCCCGCGGCCUAUCAGCUUGUUGGUGGGGUAAUGGCCUACCAAGGCGACGACGGGUAGCCGGCCUGAGAGGGUGACCGGCCACACUGGGACUGAGACACGGCCCAGACUCCUACGGGAGGCAGCAGUGGGGAAUCUUGCGCAAUGGGCGAAAGCCUGACGCAGCAACGCCGCGUGGGGGAUGAAGGCCUUCGGGUUGUAAACCUCUUUCACCAUCGACGAAGCCCUUUGGGGUGACGGUAGGUGGGGAAGAAGCACCGGCUAACUAC